UUCUGGAAGCUGGUUUCACAUGGUGGCUUAGAUUUUUCAAUCUUUGUAUCUAGCACCAUUUGAAAUUAAUGUUUUAGGAG
rnacentral:pre_miRNA from 1 species